rnacentral:rRNA from 1 species
UACGUAGGGCUGCAAGCGUUAAUCGGAAUAUACUGGGCGUAAAGCGUGCGCAAGCGGUUUUGUAAGACAGUGGUGAAAUCCCCGGGCUCAACCUGGGAACUGCCAUUGUGACUGCAAGGCUAGAGUGCGGCAGAGGGGGAUGGAAUUCCGCGUGUAGCAGUGAAAUGCGUAGAUAUGCGGAGGAACACCGAUGGCGAAGGCAAUCCCCUGGGCCUGCACUGACGCUCAUGCACGAAAGCGUGGGGAGCAAACAGGAUUAGAUACCCUGGUAGUCAAGGGCG